UCGAGUUAGGGUCCCUAGGGCCCGAACUUCCCAACCCUUUGUUUAUCCAACCUCUGUUGCUUCGGCGGGCCCGUCCAUUAUGGACCGCCGGAGGACCACCGCUCGCGGUGUCCUCUGGCCCGCGCCCGUCGGUAGCCCACGUCUAAACUCUUGUCUAAAACGUGUUUGUCUGCCUAAAUUCAUAAUAAAAAUAAAACGCA
rnacentral:misc_RNA from 1 species